rnacentral:sRNA from 1 species
UGGCUCGGGAGGCGAUCGUGGCCGCUGCCGCCGCCAGAGCCGGCCGGAGUCGGCCCGGAGCCGCGUCCACGCGGAGCGGGCGGGUGGGAGCUGGCGGCUGGGCCCCUGCGGCGCCCCCGCGGCCUGCCCCGCGUCCGCCUCCGGGCCGCCGAGCCGCAGCCGCCGAGAUGGGGGCCGCCCCGGGCCGCGCCCCCGCCGGGUCCCGCCCGCCGCGCUGCCGCUGAGCGCAUGGGCCGGGCCGCGCCGCGCCGCUCCGGGAGCCGGGCCCGGGGUCCCGCCACCACCGCGCGCGGGUAUGGAUCCUGGCGGGAGCCAGUCAACCCCUAUUAUGUCAAUGCCGGCUAUGCCCUGGCCCCAGCCACCAGUGCCAACGACAGCGAGCAGCAGAGCCUGUCCAGCGAUGCAGACACCCUGUCCCUCACGGACAGCAGUGUGGAUGGGAUCCCCCCAUACAGGAUCCGUAAGCAGCACCGCAGGGAGAUGCAGGAGAGCGUGCAGGUCAAUGGGCGGGUGCCCCUACCUCACAUUCCCCGCACGCACCGGGUGCCGAAGGAGGUCCGCGUGGAGCCUCAGAAGUUCGCGGAGGAGCUCAUCCACCGCCUGGAGGCCGUGCAGCGCACGCGGGAGGCCGAGGAGAAGCUGGAGGAGCGGCUGAAGCGCGUGCGCAUGGAGGAGGAAGGUGAGGACGGCGAUCCAUCCUCAGGGCCCCCAGGGCCGUGUCACAAGCUGCCUCCCGCCCCCGCUUGGCACCACUUCCCGCCCCGCUGUGUGGACGUGGGCUGUGCCGGGCUCCGGGAUGCACACGAGGAGAACCCUGAGAGCAUCCUGGACGAGCACGUACAGCGUGUGCUGAGGACACCUGGCCGCCAGUCGCCUGGGCCUGGCCACCGCUCCCCGGACAGUGGGCACGUGGCCAAGAUGCCAGUGGCACUGGGGGGUGCUGCCUCGGGGCACGGGAAGCACGUACCCAAGUCAGGGGCGAAGCUGGACGCGGCCGGCCUGCACCACCACCGACACGUCCACCACCACAUCCACCACAGCACAGCCCGGCCCAAGGAGCAGGUGGAGGCCGAGGCC